rnacentral:rRNA from 1 species
UUGACCUCGGAUCAGGUAGGGAUACCCGCUGAACUUAAGCAUAUCAAUAAGCGGAGGAAAAGAAACCAACAGGGAUUGCCCCAGUAACGGCGAGUGAAGCGGCAAGAGCUCAAAUUUGAAAUCUGGCCCCCUCCGGGGGUCCG